rnacentral:sRNA from 1 species
AACAAAAACAAAAGAAGAAAAGCA